GAUGAACGCUGGCGGCGUGCCUAAUACAUGCGAGUCGAGCGAACAGAUGAGGGGCUUGCUCCUCUGACGUUAGCGGCGGACGGGUGAGUAACACGUGGAUAACCUACCUAUAAGACUGGGAUAACUUCGGGAAACCGGAGCUAAUACCGGAUAAUAUAUUGAACCGCAUGGUUCAAUAGUGAAAGACGGUUUUGCUGUCACUUAUAGAUGGAUCCGCGCCGCAUUAGCUAGUUGGUAAGGUAACGGCUUACCAAGGCAACGAUGCGUAGCCGACCUGAGAGGGUGAUCGGCCACACUGGAACUGAGACACGGUCCAGACUCCUACGGGAGGCAGCAGUAGGGAAUCUUCCGCAAUGGGCGAAAGCCUGACGGAGCAACGCCGCGUGAGUGAUGAAGGUCUUCGGAUCGUAAAACUCUGUUAUUAGGGAAGAACAAAUGUGUAAGUAACUAUGCACGCCUUGACGGUACCUAAUCAGAAAGCCACGGCUAACUACGUG
rnacentral:rRNA from 1 species